AAAAGAUAGGAUCAUCGAAUAAAACAAGUUGCUAGCUUUUUGCUUUCACAACGACAGCGAAGAAUAAGAUAAAAAAACAUGCUAAAAUGAUAUGAAUUGCUUGUUGAAACUCGCACUUCCUAGCGAGAGGAAUAUUAUUAACAUAUAGCAAUAAUAUAUCGAUAUUAACAAUAUCGAAAAGCCCAGCAUUAAAUUCAAACAAAUAUCAGAGAACGAAAGAAGCGAUUGUUAAAUGAAAAUCCUCAUAGAAAUUGUCCAAUUUGGAACUUUAGAAAAAGGACCUGUAAGCAGCGAAUUGGAAAAACAUUUGUCAAAUAAUAUCAUCAGGAAAUUCAGCUUUUUUCUUUAAAAAUUAAAUACAAGGCGCCUGAAUUAUUCGUCCUUCGAAUGGCAAGGCGUUUUUCUGAUAAAGUUAUCAGCCAAUGUAUAAUAUAUUGGAUUCUGAAUAUAAGAGCGGUCGAUAAUUUGAAUUUUACUUACGUAUUUACAAGAUACCGUGUAAAUAACCGUUAAACAGAAUUAUCUAAGCGAGGAAGGCAAUUAUUUCUGAAGAUUAACGAGUUCGUUAGAUAAAUUUAUUCUCCUCAUUGCUAAUCGCACAGACGUUCAAUGUUAGUAGAAAACUUGAAGAAUUUACAGACCUGGUGGUAUCGUUGUUUCCUGGCUGCGCCAUUCUAAAUCGAUAGUGUACACCGUAAAUUACUGUUCUUGAGCUGUUUUCAAAAUUCUUUCACAAGCGCAUUCUUUGUUUCGCGCGUUCUGCACCAGCUACUAUGCCGCCAAGCUUCUUCUUUCUGCUUGCAAAUAACGUUCGAAGAAUUCAGGUAAUCUCAUGAGAUCCUGUCAGGAUUUUCUUCCUCUCAGAUCUUGUCAAGAUUGUCCUCACAAAAAAUAA